GUGCUUACUUCCUCAGCAGAUAUACAAAAAUUAUAACAAUACAGAGAUUAGCAUGGACCCCCAAAGGUAUGUCACUGCACAUUUGUGUAGCCUUCCAUAUUAAA
rnacentral:snRNA from 1 species